GGUUUAGAGAAAGGGUUAGAUACACAUAUUCUAGCAGAUCAAUGAAAGUAGCUUUUCUUCCUUCAACCUUGUUCCCUGAUGGAUGGUUCAUCAAGCAUGAGAAGCUGCUCCAUAGCAACUUUGCUUAAUGUCCUGUAGACCCUAAUAGAUCCGUCCAAAAGCUGUGCUACUACCAUGGUGGGUUCUUUUAGCAGGAUCUCGUCUCAGUGCUCUUAUGCUCAAUGGAUUAUCCUUGCUCAUUCGGCAGGUUCCAGCAUCAAGGUCACAGAUGGGAUACUCGUGAGGGCAGCAGCUAUAAUGGUCAUCGCAGCAGGUUGCAGACUCAAGAGGGCAGCAUCCCCAUCCAAAGCAAAAGCC
rnacentral:misc_RNA from 1 species